UACAGAGGUCUCAAGCGUUGUUCGGAUUCAUUGGGCGUAAAGGGUGCGUAGGCGGCGCGGUAAGUCGGGUGUGAAAUCUCGGAGCUUAACUCCGAAACUGCAUUCGAUACUGCCGUGCUUGAGGACUGGAGAGGAGACUGGAAUUCACGGUGUAGCAGUGAAAUGCGUAGAUAUCGUGAGGAAGACCAGUGGCGAAGGCGGAUCUCUGGACAGUUCCUGACGCUGAGGCACGAAGGCCAGGGGAGCAAACGGG
rnacentral:rRNA from 1 species